CAGGAUGUAUAGGGGAAAUGGAUGGAGAACAUCAGGUCCCUAAGCUUUGGAAACAUCUGUCCCAGCAUCUUAAUCAGUAGAUGGACUUCCUGUUUGCUGCACCAGAUAGAAGAAAAUCACUAAAUGAGGGGGGAAUAUGUGCAGUAUCACAACACAAGGGGACCAGCUUACAGGUCCAUCAAUGCACAGCACAGCAUGGAGUGAAAUAAAGAAAGAAACAAAGUAAAAAUGGUUUUAGAAGAACUUCAACUACUAAUAAAAGAG